UACCUGGUUGAUCCUGCCAGUAAUCAUAUGCUUGUCUCAAAGAUUAAGCCAUGCAUGUCUAAGUACAUGCCGAAAUAAGGCGAAACCGCGAAUGGCUCAUUAAAUCAGUUAUGGUUCCUUAGAUCGUUUCUUCCUACUUGGAUAACUGUGGCAAUUCUAGAGCUAAUACAUGCAGUGAGCCUGAAGCCCUUUGGGCGACGGGUGCUUUUAUUAGACCAAGAUCGAUCGGGUUUCGGCCCGUAUUGUGUGGUGACUCUGGAUAACUUUGUGCUGAUCGCAUGGCCACGAGCCGGCGACGUUUCUUUCAAGUGUCUGCCUUAUCAAGUUUCGAUGGUAGGUUACUUGCUUAUCAUGGUUGUUACGGGUAACGGAGAAUCAGGGUUCGAUUCCGGAGAGGGAGCCUGAGAAACGGCUACCACAUCCAAGGAAGGCAGCAGGCGCGCAAAUUACCCACUCCCGGCACGGGGAGGUAGUGACGAAAAAUAACAAUACGGGACUCUUUUGAGGCCCCGUAAUUGAAAUGAGUACACUCUAAAUCCUUUAACGAGGAUCAAUUGGAGGGCAAGUCUGGUGCCAGCAGCCGCGGUAAUUCCAGCUCCAAUAGCGUAUACUAAAGCUGCUGCGGUUAAAAAGCUCGUAGUUGGAUCUCAGUUCCAGACGAGUAGUGCAUCUACCCGAUGCGACGGCUCGGACUGAACAUCAUGCCGGUCCUUUCUUGGUGCACUUCAUUGUGUGCCUCGAGAAGGCCGGUGCUUUUACUUUGAAAAAAUUAGAGUGCUCAACGCAGGCGAGUCGCCUGAAUAAACUUGCAUGGAAUAAUAGAACAAGACCUCGUUUCUGUUCUGUUGGUUUUUGGAAUACGAGGUAAUGAUUAAGAGGGACAGACGGGGCAUUCGUAUUGCGGCGCUAGAGGUGAAAUUCUUGGACCGUCGCAAGACGAACUACUGCGAAAGCAUUUGCCAAGAAUGUUUUCUUUGAUCAAGAACGAAAGUCAGAGGUUCGAAGGCGAUCAGAUACCGCCCUAGUUCUGACCAUAAACGAUGCCAACCAGCGAUCCGCCUGAGUUACUCAAAUGACUCGGCGGGCAGCUUCCGGGAAACCAAAGUAUUUGGGUUCCGGGGGAAGUAUGGUUGCAAAGCUGAAACUUAAAGGAAUUGAUGGAAGGGCACCACCAGGAGUGGAGCCUGCGGCUUAAUUUGACUCAACACGGGAAAACUUACCCGGCCCGGACACUGGGAGGAUUGACAGAUUGAGAGCUCUUUCUUGAUUCGGUGGAUGGUGGUGCAUGGCCGUUCUUAGUUGGUGGAGCGAUUUGUCUGGCUAAUUCCGAUAACGAACGAGACUCUAGCCUAUUAAAUAGGUGCGGGGUUCCCAGCACCUUACAACCUUCUUAGAGGGACAAGCGGCUCCUAGCCGCACGAAACAGAGCAAUAACAGGUCUGUGAUGCCCUUAGAUGUCCGGGGCCGCACGCGCGCUACACUGAAGGAAGCAGCGUGUCUUUAUCCCUGUCUGAAAAGACUGGGUAACCCGUGGAACUUCUUUCGUGAUUGGGAUAGGGGGCUUGCAAAUUGUUCCCCUUGAACGAGGAAUUCCCAGUAAGCGCGAGUCAUAAGCUCGCGUUGAUUACGUCCCUGCCCUUUGUACACACCGCCCGUCGCUACUACCGAUUGAAUGAUUUAGUGAGGUCUUCGGACCGAUGUCCGGCGCGGCCUUUCGGUUGCUGCCGGUCUGUUGGAAAGAUGACCAACUUGAUCAUUAGAGGAAGUAAAAGUCGUAACAAGGUUUCUGUAGGUGAACCUGCGGAAGGAUCAUUA
rnacentral:rRNA from 1 species